rnacentral:rRNA from 1 species
GAUGAACGCUAGCGGGAGGCUUAACACAUGCAAGCCGAGGGGUAUUCAGUUGCUUGCAACUGGAGAGACCGGCGCACGGGUGAGUAACGCGUAUGUAACUUGCCUCAUUCAACGGGAUAGCCCGGGGAAACCGAUUAAUAUCGUAUAACAUCGGGACAGGCAUCUGUUUUGAUUGAAAGAUUCAUCGGAAUGAGAUAGACAUGCGUAUGAUUAGCUUGUUGGCGGGUAACGGCCCACCAAGGCGACGAUGCGUAGCUGAGCUGAGAGGCUAAACAGCCACACUGGGACUGAGACACGGCCCAGACUCCUACGGGAGGCAGCAGUCGAGAAUCUUGGGCAAUGCGCGAAAGCGUGACCCAGCAAUGCCGCGUGCAGGAUGAAGG